AAAUUGAAGAGUUUGAUCAUGGCUCAGAUUGAACGCUGGCGGCAGGCCUAACACAUGCAAGUCGAACGGUAACAGGAAGCAGCUUGCUGCUUCGCUGACGAGUGGCGGACGGGUGAGUAAUGUCUGGGAAACUGCCUGAUGGAGGGGGAUAACUACUGGAAACGGUAGCUAAUACCGCAUAAUGUCGCAGGACCAAAGAGGGGGACCUUCGGGCCUCUUGCCAUCAGAUGUGCCCAGAUGGGAUUAGCUUGUUGGUGAGGUAACGGCUCACCAAGGCGACGAUCCCUAGCUGGUCUGAGAGGAUGACCAGCCACACUGGAACUGAGACACGGUCCAGACUCCUACGGGAGGCAGCAGUGGGGAAUAUUGCACAAUGGGCGCAAGCCUGAUGCAGCCAUGCCGCGUGUAUGAAGAAGGCCUUCGGGUUGUAAAGUACUUUCAGCGGGGAGGAAGGUGUUGUGGUUAAUAACCGCAGCAAUUGACGUUACCCGCAGAAGAAGCACCGGCUAACUCCGUGCCAGCAGCCGCGGUAAUACGGAGGGUGCAAGCGUUAAUCGGAAUUACUGGGCGUAAAGCGCACGCAGGCGGUCUGUCAAGUCGGAUGUGAAAUCCCCGGGCUCAACCUGGGAACUGCAUUCGAAACUGGCAGGCUUGAGUCUUGUAGAGGGGGGUAGAAUUCCAGGUGUAGCGGUGAAAUGCGUAGAGAUCUGGAGGAAUACCGGUGGCGAAGGCGGCCCCCUGGACAAAGACUGACGCUCAGGUGCGAAAGCGUGGGGAGCAAACAGGAUUAGAUACCCUGGUAGUCCACGCCGUAAACGAUGUCUACUUGGAGGUUGUGCCCUUGAGGCGUGGCUUCCGGAGCUAACGCGUUAAGUAGACCGCCUGGGGAGUACGGCCGCAAGGUUAAAACUCAAAUGAAUUGACGGGGGCCCGCACAAGCGGUGGAGCAUGUGGUUUAAUUCGAUGCAACGCGAAGAACCUUACCUGGUCUUGACAUCCACAGAACCCUGUAGAGAUACGGGGGUGCCUUCGGGAACUGUGAGACAGGUGCUGCAUGGCUGUCGUCAGCUCGUGUUGUGAAAUGUUGGGUUAAGUCCCGCAACGAGCGCAACCCUUAUCCUUUGUUGCCAGCGGUCCGGCCGGGAACUCAAAGGAGACUGCCAGUGAUAAACUGGAGGAAGGUGGGGAUGACGUCAAGUCAUCAUGGCCCUUACGACCAGGGCUACACACGUGCUACAAUGGCGCAUACAAAGAGAAGCGACCUCGCGAGAGCAAGCGGACCUCAUAAAGUGCGUCGUAGUCCGGACUGGAGUCUGCAACUCGACUCCAUGAAGUCGGAAUCGCUAGUAAUCGUGGAUCAGAAUGCCACGGUGAAUACGUUCCCGGGCCUUGUACACACCGCCCGUCACACCAUGGGAGUGGGUUGCAAAAGAAGUAGGUAGCUUAACCUUCGGGAGGGCGCUUACCACUUUGUGAUUCAUGACUGGGGUGAAGUCGUAACAAGGUAACCGUAGGGGAACCUGCGGUUGGAUCACCUCCUUA
rnacentral:rRNA from 2 species